UGCAAGUCCAACGUGAAAGGGGAGCAAUCCCCCGGUAGGGUGGCAAACGGGUGAGUAAUACAUGGGUGAUCUACCUUAGGGAUGGGGAUAUCCUUCCGAAAGGAGGGGCAAUACCGAAUAUUGUCCGGAGCCGUGAAGGGUUCCGGGGAAAGGGAGGCCUCUGAUACAAGCUUUCGCCUUAAGAUGAGCCCAUGGCCCAUCAGCUAGUUGGUAGGGUAAAGGCCUACCAAGGCUACGACGGGUCGCUGGUCUGAGAGGACGACCAGCCACACUGGCACUGAGAUACGGGCCAGACUCCUACGGGAGGCAGCAGUGAGGAAUAUUGCGCAAUGGGGGAAACCCUGACGCAGCAACGCCGCGUGUGGGAAGAAGGCCUUCGGGUCGUAAACCACUUUUGCACGGGACGAAAAAGGGAUAUCGAACAAAUAUCCCCGAUGACGGUACCGUGAGAAUAAGCCACGGCUAACUCUGUGCCAGCAGCCGCGGUAAGACAGAGGUGGCAAGCGUUGUUCGGAAUUACUGGGCGUAAAGAGUCUGUAGGUGGUUUGUCAAGUCUUUGGUGAAAGGCCGUAGCUUAACUAUGGGAAUGCCAAAGAGACUGGCAGGCUGGAGGCUGGGAGAGGGAAGCGGAAUUUCUGGUGUAGCGGUGAAAUGCGUAGAUAUCAGAAGGAAGGCCGGUGGCGAAGGCGGCUUCCUGGAACAGUCCUGACACUGAGAGACGAAAGCGUGGGGAGCAAACAGGAUUAGAUACCCUGGUAGUCCACGCCCUAAACGAUGGGUACUAAGUGUGGAGGGGUUAAACCCUCCGUGCCGCAGCAAACGCAGUAAGUACCCCGCCUGGGGAGUACGGCCGCAAGGUUGAAACUCAAAGGAAUUGACGGGGGCCCGCACAAGCGGUGGUGCAUGUGGUUUAAUUCGACGCAACGCGAGGAACCUUACCUAGGCUUGACAUGUGGUGAGUAGCGAACCGAAAGGGGAGCGACCCGUCAAAUCGGGCCAUCACACAGGUGCUGCAUGGCUGUCGUCAGCUCGUGCCCUGAGGUGUUGGGUUCAGUCCC
rnacentral:rRNA from 1 species